rnacentral:rRNA from 1 species
GACGAACGCUGGCGGCGUGCCUAAUACAUGCAAGUUGAGCGAUGAAGAUUGGUGCUUGCACCAAUUUGAAGAGCAGCGAACGGGUGAGUAACGCGUGGGGAAUCUACCUUUGAGCGGGGGACAACAUUUGGAAACGAAUGCUAAUACCGCAUAAUAACUUUAAACAUAAGUUUUAAGUUUGAAAGAUGCAAUUGCAUCACUCAAAGAUGAUCCCGCGUUGUAUUAGCUAGUUGGUGAGGUAAAGGCUCACCAAGGCGAUGAUACAUAGCCGACCUGAGAGGGUGAUCGGCCACAUUGGGACUGAGACACGGCCCAAACUCCUACGGGAGGCAGCAGUAGGGAAUCUUCGGCAAUGGACGAAAGUCUGACCGAGCAACGCCGCGUGAGUGAAGAAGGUUUUCGGAUCGUAAAACUCUGUUGGUAGAGAAGAACGUUGGUGAGAGUGGAAAGCUCAUCAAGUGACGGUAACUACCCAGAAAGGGACGGCUAACUACGUG